rnacentral:rRNA from 1 species
UACGUAGGGUGCGAGCGUUAAUCGGAAUUACUGGGCGUAAAGCGUGCGCAGGCGGUUCGUUAUGUCCGAUGUGAAAGCCCCGAGCUCAACUUGGGAAUGGCAUUGGAAACUGGCGGGCUGGAGUGUGGCAGAGGGGGGUGGAAUUCCACGUGUAGCAGUGAAAUGCGUAGAGAUGUGGAGGAACACCGAUGGCGAAGGCAGCCCCCUGGGCCAACACUGACGCUCAGGCACUAAAGCGUGGGGAGCAAACAGG